rnacentral:rRNA from 1 species
AUGGAAGAUCUCGUGAAGAAACCCAUGCCAGAGACACCUCCGCGGGCAUUGUUUCUGUUCCUAUUCUUCCUCUUCCUCUUGUUUGUAAGCUGGUUCACUGGAAAGACAAGAAAAAUGCAGCAUCAGCAGCGAGAAAACAACCACCUCCCGCUCCCGCCUUCGCCGCCGGCACUGCCCAUCAUUGGUCACCUGCACCUCGUCGGCUCCCUCCCGCACGUCUCUCUCCGCAGCCUUGCCAGGAAGUAUGGUCCCGACAUGAUGCUUCUGCGCCUGGGCGCCGCGCGGACCCUCGUGGUGUCGUCGCUGCGUGGCGCAGAGGCAGUGCUGCGCACCCACGACCACAUCUUGGCGUCGCGGCCCAGCUCCGUAGUCUCCGACAUCCUCACGUACGGCUCGUCUGAUAUGGCCUUCGCGCCAUACGGCGAGUACUGGCGGCAGGUGAGGAAGCUGGUCACCACCCACAUGUUGAGCGUUAAGAAGGUGCAGUCUUUCCGCAGCGCUGCCAUGGAGGAGGUGAGCUUGGUGAUGGCCAAGAUUAAUGAGGUGGCCACAACCGAUGGUACGGUGGACAUGAGAGAGCUUCUCAGCUUAUUCGCGAAUGACAUGGGGUGCCGCAUCGUAUCGGGAAAGUUCUUCCUAAAAGAUGGACAGAGCAAGUUGUUCCGGGACCUCACCAACGAUACCUCACGGCUGUUAGGAGGGUUCAACGUGGAGGAGUACUUCCCAGGAUUGGCAAGGGUAGGAGUGUUUAAGAGGGCAGUUUGUGCCCAAGCCGAGAGAGUGAGGAAUAGAUGGGCUGAUCUGCUAGACAAGGUGAUCGACGAUCAUGUGAGCAAGGAUAAGUCAACGUUUGAUCACGAGGAUGGUGAUUUUGUAGAUAUUCUGUUGACUUUUCAGCACGAGUAUGAUCUCACAAGAGAGCACAUGAAAGCUAUCCUGAUAGAUGUAUUUGCCGGUGCAACAGACACAUCAGCUAACGCCCUCGAAUUCACCUUGGCCGAGCUCAUGAGGAAGCCACGUGUGAUGGGGAAGCUACAAGCUGAGGUGAGGAGUAACGUACCCCAGGGACAAGAAAUUGUCAGUGAAAUCAACGUGAACAAUAUGGCAUACCUAAGAGCAGUCAUAAAGGAGUCGCUUCGACUGUAUCCUAUUGCGCCUCUCCUUGCUCCACACCUUGCCAUGGAUGACUGCAAUAUUGAUGGAUAUAUGGUUCCUGCUGGGACGCGUGUCAUGGUCAAUGCAUGGGCCAUUGCUAGGGACUCGAGCUUGUGGGAGGACGCAGAAGAGUUCAUACCUGAAAGAUUUACAGAUGAAGGCAGCGCUAUGCAUGUCAAUUUCAAGGGGAAUGAUUUCCAGUUCUUGCCAUUCGGGGCAGGACGAAGGAUGUGCCCCGGUAUGAACCUCGGAAUCGCUAAUGUUGAGCUUAUGUUGGCAAACCUCAUGUACCAUUUUGACUGGGAACUUCCGCUUGGAGUUGAGAGAGAAGACAUUGAUAUGACAGCGGUGUUUGGGCUAACCAUGCGCCGGAAGGAGAAACUAUUGUUAAUUCCAAAAUCCUGGAUGUAG